rnacentral:rRNA from 1 species
GGUUAAGCGACUAAGCGUACACGGUGGAUGCCCUGGCAGUCAGAGGCGAUGAAGGACGUGCUAAUCUGCGAUAAGCGUCGGUAAGGUGAUAUGAACCGUUAUAACCGGCGAUUUCCGAAUGGGGAAACCCAGUGUGAUUCGUCACACUAUCAUUACGUGAAUACAUAGCGUAAUGAAGCGAACCGGGGGAACUGAAACAUCUAAGUACCCCGAGGAAAAGAAAUCAACCGAGAUUCCCCCAGUAGCGGCGAGCGAACGGGGAGCAGCCC